rnacentral:lncRNA from 1 species
GUUGCUUCUGAAUCAAGAUGGAGGACUCUCAGCUCCAGCACCAAGUCUGCUGUGCGCCACCAUACCCCCCACCAUGAUGAUAACGGACUGAACCUUGGAAACUGCUGGUGGUCCCAAAAACUACAGCCUAGUAGCUCCACUGCCAAGCUGUCAUGAACUAAGACUUAAGGUUUGACCUUAGGAGCUGGGUGUGAGUUUCUCUGUGGCUUUUGGAGGCUGUCCUGGAACUAGCUCUUGUAGACCAGAUUGGUCUCGAACUCAUAGGGAUCUGCCUGCCUCUGCCUCCCAAGUGCUGGGAUCAAAGGCGUGCACCACCACCACCCGGCUGUAACCCUGCUUUUCAUUCCUGCCACACGGUUACACGGUUACACCG